CGUGUAGGCGGUCAGGUAAGUGGAAUGUGAAAUGCCCCGGCUCACCCGGGGACCGGCAUCCCAAACUGCCUGGCUUGAGUAUGGGAGAGGAUGGAGGAAUUCCCGGUGUAGCGGUGAAAUGCGUAGAUAUCAGGAGGAACACCGGUGGCGAAGGCGUCCAUCUGGCCCAAUACUGACGCUGAGGCGCGAAAGCUAGGGGAGCAAACG
rnacentral:rRNA from 1 species